AGGAGAAAGUUGUCAGCAAUUAAUUUUCAGAGGGCUAAACUUCACCCAUUUUUUAAUAGAAGAGGAGUCUGAGGGACCACAGAGAGAAUAAAUCAUUUGGGCUCAUGGGAGGUUUUUAGCUGCUUUCCAGAGCAAGUGUUACUACUUUUGCACCUUGGCAACAAGUGAAAUAUUUGCUUUUAACCACUGAGGCAAAUAUUCUUAAAUAAGCAAGACUUAAAGCAAACAAAUAAAAUUUAAAACGGCUUUUCUUUGGGACGUCCGUUGAUUCCUUCCCCAAAGGAAGAUACCAAACGCUUGGGUAGAGAUCUGGUUGAUGUUGUAGGUGAUGCUCGGGGGGGGCUGCGUAGAGAAGAACUUAUUUUGUUGUUUUUUUCCUCGGACUGUAAUUGAUAGAUAUGGGAAGUUUGCUGAUGGGAUUGGGACUCUUAAAACCAGCUCAUGGUUUUAUUUUUCGCGGGUGGGAUGGAUGUGAUUUCCUUGCAGCUUAGUCCAUCCGCUCAGCACAGACUUCAGCGAGUAAAUCCAGUCCCUUCUCUGUAGAGAUGGACGGGGCACAAUCGCGGGGCUGAUUUAUCGGUGGUUCGUGGUUGUUGUUGAAUCGAUAGUGUUUUAAUGAGUCUGUGUUAGGAAAGGAUAGAUUAUAUUCUUUCCGCAGAACCUCGAUUUAUCAAAGCUUUUCAGCAUUUUGCUUACAGUUAAGCAGAUGUUUAAGUCCAGUACUACUAUGCGCCGUUUAAAUGGUAUGCAAGGGUCUAAUACAUUAUCUGCGCUGCCAAACAAACCCCGUGUCCUGGUUUUGUUAAAAAGCAAGUUUCUCUUUUAGUGAAUUCGCCUGUCAGCUAAAACUUCAUAUUGGCUGUAUUUUCCUGGAGAAUCAGAUACAUGUUUUGGUAAACAUAGCAAUGGAAUGCGAAGUUAUUGAUAAGCACAGAUGGACAUCUCGCGAGAGGGGCAACGAGAAACAGGUGCCCAAGAACCUGACCAACUGAGUGUAACAUCCCAUUCACAUGAUACUUCAUAUAAAAAUGGGAGAUCACAAGCAUCUUGUCCCUUUUCCUUUUUCAUCCCUUUUCCUUACGGCCGACAUCAGGAGAGGACCUUGCUAGUCAUCCCUGCGAACUGAGGCCAGUGACAGACUGAAUCCAGCUCCAGUUGGCUGCAGAGUCCAGUCCAGGACUUUGGUUGCCGGCUCUGCAGUUGCUGAGACUUUCAAGAUUGGUUUUGCAUAUUUUGUAUGAUUUUCUCUAUUCUUAUUAGCAGCCUUAGUAAAACAUUUUUAAUGUUUCCAGCUCUCUUCUCUCUGUCCUCCUUUUUCUCCCGAUCGCCUGUCCUGAGUGGGAAGGGGGGAGAGGGAGGGGCAAAAGGGGAAGAGGGGGGAGAGGGUUAACAAUACAUCUGCCACGGUUUUAUUGUCACCCUGCAAUCUAAACCCUCGACACCCUGAUACUUUGGCUGCUAGUAAAGCUUUUAAUUGCCAUUAAAGCUGACAGUUAUCUUCCUAUAUUAACAAAAUGUUUCCUGUAGCUAAAGGAAUCCACAAAUCAUCUGUUCAGAGCGGCCUUGACAGCUCCCACCAUUUCUCCCCGCUUUGCGUUGUUCUUAAGUGCAGAAGGUAAUGGGUGGAAAAGGCGGCAGAGGUGCCAGGGCCAUCGCCGAGCCGGGGCCUUCCCCAGGUGAGACAGCUGGUCGGGAAGCUUGGGAGAUAAAGCACCAAGCAGAGUCAUUGCGGAAAAACUCCCCUCUGUCAUAUUUCUCUUUAUUACCCUUUCCUCCGCAGCCACGAUGGGAUUAGUGAUAUUUCCAUUUGUCUAGUUUAUGUAUUUUUGUUUUCCCUUCCUCUGAAAAACGAUCACAGAAUGAAAAGUCUGUCAGGCCUUGGAGUUCAGCAAGACUCUCUCUGGAAUUCAUUUCAUACCGUGGAGCAGGCGUCUAGAAAAAUGCUAUUUGAUUAAACUUUUGGUUUAAUAUAAGGAAAUGGUUAUUUGAGCUUGUUGGUGGGUGUAGGACACAGAGCUGUGUGGACAAUGCAGUAUUUUUAUUUGUCAAAUGCCUGAAGCCUUAAAAACCAAAGCAGCAAUAAUAAGGAGGAGAGCUGAGGAAACAGAAGUUUUGCUACAGCUGGUUAUUUUCUGAAUGUUAGAAAUUCCACGGCAAAGGAGAAAAGCACUAGUAAUAAGUACCUUGUCCUUGAGUAGAACACAGGUUGGAUGAGCUGAGAUGUUCAGAGCUCGGGGCCCAGCAGAGCCGGGUUCAAAGGGUCCGGCGUGAAACAGCUCUUGACUUCAUCCUCCUCUGCGCAGCCUCUCGAGGCCUCGAUCUAAUCGAAGGGGUUUGUUCCGACACCUGCUGCAAUCACAGCUAAAUGCUUUCCCUGUAAAAUCAAUGCUGAUAAUGAAGCCUGGGCUGUGCUCUUGUCUCCACGCUUUGCUUUCUACUCCUUCCCAAUUGUGAGACCCUCCAUCUCCACCGCUCCUUCCACCUGAGCAUCGUCUGUAGCUGCUCUGAGUGACUUUACUCCAACCCCUUUUUGCCUUCCUCUUCCAUACAGAAUGAUUUGCUGCCAGCAAAUACAUUGGGGAAAAAGGGGCAGGGGGGAAUCCUUCAACUUCAGUUGCACAAAAUUAACGAAGCAACCACCAAUUAGCACUGAUGUGUGUUGUCACUGUGUCUCGCUAAGGAGCAAAACCAGCGUUCGAGCUGAGACCCAGAGCUUCACCCAUGGAAAAUCAUGUUUAAUGUUCGGCCAGACUGUGGGUAGGGAUUAUUAUCUUGGUUUCUGAAACAGCUGAAAUUUGCUUUGGGAUCCUCCAGUUGAGGUUGGUGUAGUAUCUACAGGCACCUGUUGUUCUGCCUGGAACAACCACCCUCACACACCGAGCUCUUCUAUCAGCAAGAAAACCCCUGCACAAGGUGCAGGAUUAUAGGGCUCCACAUCUGGCAGGGUUGUGGCGACACUUCUAUUGUGCUUAACAGAGCCAAUACUUGGAAAAUUAGGAUAUUUUUAAUUUAUGGAGGUAAAACUCCCCCAGAAAAGUGCAUUUGCUGUUGUAAAGCUUGGAGGUAAUUAUACUCUCCUUUUUUGACACUGCGCUGUUGGGAAUGAAUACCAGCCUUUCCAUUUGAGGGUUUAUUUGAUUAUUUUUCUCGUUUUGCAAAACAUUAUUACGUUAAGCCACCACUCCUGAAUCCUUAUCCUCCUGUGGCAUUUAUGCACGAGAGGGACUGUGCUCUGAAAGGCAGAGCAGACUGAAGAACGCUCCACGAUGAUGGAAAGGCUUCUGUUCAUCCCGCGCUUUCGGUGUAAGAGCUUAUUUUUGGCUUUAGAAGCAAACGCGACCUAGUUUGGAUCCAAAAUGUAAUCUGAGCCUUCAUCUGCACAUUUCAGACUGUUACUGAGGGCUGAAAGUGCUCAACUGGGGUUCUGGGGGCUAUUUUAUUUGUUUCUGUAGGAGCUGCUUUUAUAGCCCAUAUAUAUAUAUAUGUACACAGAUAAUAUGCUUCCAGUGGUGGGGAGGGGAGUCAUUCAACAAUGAGGUGACUUUAUUUCUCUUUAUUUUUGUGAUGCAGCCUUUAAGGUCACGAGCAUGUGCUGGGUUGAAACUCCUCCCUUGGACUGGAAAUACCGACCAUGACACCCCACCAGCCCACAUCGCUCCUAUUUUUCCUUCCAGUCUCUACACACCGACCUGACUGCAAUUCCAUUUCUGCCUUAUUCUUCUAGUUCAUACAAUGCUACAUGCCAUUUUUUUUUUAGCUUGCUUGCUUUAAUUAAAUCUCAUCACUUGAAAAAUCCCAAGGAGGAACUUGCAGAUCUUCAAUUUGAUUUUUAUUUUCAUUAAGUUAAAGCUUAUAUGCCAAGUUUCCAAAAGCUUUUGCUGAAUGCACCUUGUUCUCAUGCAGCGCUGUCCCGAACAGAGAUGUGGGCAGGAAGAAACAGUCGCCUGUGUUUUACGACCCUGCAGACCCAUCUUAGUUAUUAAGCUCAGGGAAAACAAUUAAAUACUCUGUUAGGUGGAGCCUGAAUAGCAUUUUUUGAAACUCUAAUCAUUAUACAUCACUUUGGCAUAAAAAGCCAGAGGAAGAAGAUUCUUCAUACAGAGCAAGCAAUUCUUCUUGGGCCUUAUGAAAUUAAUUCUUUUAUAUCCCAUAACUUCAACUUGUAAGUCAGUGUAAUUGGCAGGAGAAGUCCCGCAGUAACAAUCGCGGGGCCGGUUAUUGUUUCCUCUAGUGCUCCGCUGUGGGAAUGCUGGAAAAACAGCCUCCCAUUCUGGUGUUUAUUGGCAAACGUUUAAAUAAAUCACGCCAGCUUGUACAAUGAGCUCGACGAUAAAUAAUCUCUUCUCUUGAAAUGUUCAGUGUUGCCGGAGGGAGAGCAGCGGAGACAGGUGGGUUUUGUGGUACCCGUGUAGCUGGGAUUGGGGUUCACAGUUUAGGAUGGAUCGGGAGGGUUUGGAAAACCUUGUUCUCUUCCCAGUUUGCCAAAACCCCACUGUGCGACCGCAACAGGGCGUGGAUUGAUCUCGCCUUGCCUCCCGUAUUUUGUUAAAAUAACCCAUUAAUUGCUUCAAGUGCCAUUUGCAGCCUCGAUGGAGGAAGCUCCUCCAGCAGCACCUGGCUCCUGUUUCCCACACCAGGCUUCCCAUUACCCCAGGUGUCUCCAGUAACAACAGCCGCCAACAGCUCCAAAAGCUCUGGUGUGACUGUCCCGUGGCCCUGCUCUGGUCCAGGUGUGUGUCCAUCAGCCCCAGCCUCAAGGUGCCUCUUCCAGUCGCACACAAGCUGAGCAUCACCCAGGGGCUGCUGCCGAUGUUCUGUCUCCUGGGCCCUCUGAAGCUUCCUCCUUCUAGCAACUUGAUAUAUUAAGAUAUUUUUUUCCUAUCUGCCUCUAAUUUCUGCCUAUUUAUCUCCCAGGUGGAGUCUACAGUGACAAGCUAAGCAAAGCGAUGCAUCUGUAAAAGCUAACGGCUCUGACACGUUCCCGCUCGGCGCUGUCUCGAGCUGAGGUUGCAGCGUGGUCAGGGAGAAGGGAAGGAUAACAGGGUAUUGCUUGACAUCAGCGCUUGGUGAUGAGACAGUUAAAGUCAAGGGAAAUGGCAAAGCAAGAGAUCGCUGAUGAAUGUGGCAUCUCCAUCCCACUGCUGCUGGAGAGAGCACUGCUCCGGGCUGGCUGGGGACGCUAUGGCAAUAUAACGCUUUGGUAGGAAAGCUCGGGAUGUAUCCUCAGCUGGAACAGGCUGAUCUCACUUUGGGUGGAAAUAAGGUGGUUUACAAGGUCCUCACCAGAAGCACCGUGGCUGUAGCUCCCUCCUGUCUGCUGCUAUCGAACAAAACGUGGGUUUGGAGCAGAACAUCCCGCUCUGGGAUUUGUUUGUCCUUUGUUAAAUCCAGCAUCCAGGGAUUCUUCCUCAAUUUGCUUUCACCAACCUACUUUCACCUUCCCCUUGACUCUGGGAUGCCAAUUAAGUAGCUUGACGCAGGGAGGGCUGUGGAUGUUAUUGAUUAGGGCUCUAAUUGCUUAUCUCUCCAUGCUGUCCAAGUGAAAUGGGCUGGAUGGAGAUGCCCUGAGCGAAAUAGAGAUGUGGCUGCCUGCCACUCGGAUUGAACCACGCAUUGUUCUUCGUCACAAGGGCUGCAUGGCUAUUUUUGAGCUAUUGUUACUCAGCGGUGCCGGCUUUGUCUCGCUGCCGUUGUCUCUUCCCCGUUGUGAUGAGCCAAGGGUGCCGGGGCAGGAAGGGUCACGCACUGUGGGUGCACCCCGUUUGCCGCUGGGACCACCUCCCACCCAGCCCGUGCUGUGGCUGGGAGGCCACGUACUGUGAAUGAUUUGGUAAAUUAAUCUACUCCCAGCUCAGAACCAAUACUUAGCGUUUUCAAGGUAUUGCAGGACAGCAAGGGGCAAGUUCACAUAUAUCUUCAAACACAGACCCGAGCCAGUUUUUUGAAAAUCCGCAUCUCAAAGACAUGUUAAAAACGUGGGGGAAAUGUUUUAAAACUAUUAGCUGAUCACUUGGUACCCCUGGGUAGAAGUUCUCCCAUAAUUCUGGGUCGCCGGGUGAAGGAGGCUCUGGGCCAUUAAUAGCCAGGGGCACGGAAAAAACAAGGCAAGCGAUUUGUUAGUCGCUGUGGGAAACCUUGCCCCCUGUGAACAAGGGGAUGGCUACGGAGUUGUCUAAUUGAGCAGGCAAAUGUUUACUGAUGUUCGCUAAAGGAUUUCACAUCCAUAUCUGAAAGAGCUUGGAUUGACUGUGAAGUGAAGAAAAGGCUGAAUUUCCCUCACGGUCUCUGCACAAAACCGAACAACCUGGCUGCGGACGGGAAGCAUCACGCUGGCGCUCUGCUUGGGCUGAAUUUCUAUCGAGUGGGCUGAUAAUUGUGCUGUAAAGAAAGAAUCAGGCCGGAUGAAUUUACCUUCAAGGCCCAUGAAGGACAAGAUCAAACCAACUUCAGAACAAUAUAAGGCUUUUCUCUUCAAGCCCAAGUUUUAGUGUCAAUGCUGCGAGGGCUUUGUGAACUCAAGACAUCAGCCUUGGGAUGUUCAAGGCUGACAGGAGCUGUUUUCUGUAAAACAGGAAAGUCUUUCAGUGCUGGGAAUUCACUUUCAUCACCGUAAUGUCAGAACAUCUUCCAGGAACACAGCUGGGUCUGUGGUUCAUCAAGGGCUUCUCUUCUCCAGGGGAAGAUCGGAUGCAAUGGAUGGAGUCUGCUUUCAUGUGAUUUGGGGUAUUCUCUGGGAUGUGUCACCACUUUUUUUCUGUGUUAGAGAAGAUCAGGAGAGGGGUCUUGCUUGCAGGUAAGACACAAAACGCUUUGUGCUGCCCUUCCUCCCAAGGAGACUCUUCAUGUACACUGGGUGCGAACCAGCAAGCACCUGGGAGACAAGAGUGGAUGCCUCCGAGGUGGCUACGAGAAGCAGUGCAGAGAGAACUGAAGACACUAAAACUAGUUUUAGGUAAGCUUUUGGUUUUCAGAUCAGAUCUGCAUAUUUAUACCCUAUCAACACGCACACUUAAUCCCAAGUUGCAAUGGGACUCGAGCGUUGUCUGUUAUUGCAGCUCCAUCUCUGUGCAAUUUCCUGCUGUUAAUGCAGCUCCGUCCCUUGUUUCUAUUCCAGACAAAUCAUGCCAGUUGUCUUUCCCAAGAUCAUUGUGCUGCCUUAAAAUACCCCCUACCUCUGUGUUCGCAAAGCUUGUGAAUACAGAGCUCUCUCUAAGGAGCUGUGGAGCCAAGUAGCCACGGCCAAGUGAGCAGGGACCUGGAGGGGCAUUUCCAUCAGUCCGUCAGCUGCCGGUCCUGCUGCUCCGAGCACAAACACAGUGGUUUUUGGGCACAUACGGAUGUAGAGUCCAACUUCGUUCUUGUACUUGGUACUGCCAAGAGAUGAAAGUGGGCUGGAUGGCAGUAAUAGAAGAAGCUUUCUGCUUUUUUCCUAAGGAAGCAAAAUCUGGAGUGGCAGAGGUGGCUCAUUCUGCAGAGCUGCCUCUCUGACAAUAAACACACUGAAGUGUCGGUGUGGGGAGCAGCAAGUCUGUAUUCUUGAAUCUCUCUGAUAAGUGACAAUACAUUGUGCUUCAUAUGUGUUCAAAAGAAAGCCGUUAUUCUUCUGAAGAUCUCGUCCCACUUUGCAGAGUCUCUUUAUUGUCACGGAGUGAGCGGGAAGGUCAGGCCAGCGGGGCUGGUGUGGCAGAGAACCCAGAGAGCAUCCCUGGCCAUGUGAACCCAGCACUGUGCACUUGUGUUUGAAUUUGCUGUAAUAAAUCCCCCGGUGAGGUCCCAUCGGUGAAGUGAACAGAAUGCAUACAUCAUUAGGUUAAAAAUAGAUGUUUGCAGUCACAAAGUCUGCGUUACCUGGUAGUCGGUCGGGUCCCGGCCCUUCCCCGCGCCUGCAGCUGCAGGGCUGGGGGAGGAUUCCUCUGUGCACCGCUGCUGGAACAGCAAAAUCCAGGUCUCACCUGGGUGUGUGUGAUGUGCCAUGAUGGGAAAAGGCCCCGAUUGCCCCUGUGGGCACAGGGCAGAGCAACCAGCUCAUUGUCGUGCACAGCUGUGCCCACCCCAGCUGUGUCUGGGGCACCUCGACCCAGCCGUGCUGCUGAGAUGCUUUUGCCCCUCUGCUAGGAGAUCACUCUGAAGGUCCAUUUUACCCCGUGCAGAAUGCUGGCGUAUGCACACGCAUACAGCAGGCAUUCGCUGGAGCUGGCAAGUUGGAAAAAUAGCAGUGCCCUCAGGGAAAAUAUAUAUUCCCCUGUUGGUACCUUCCUUCCCUCUGCUGGCAGUUUCUCUGCACAUAUCGCAGCUUUCAGCCUGCUGCCCCUGAGAGCCGGAGAGAAAGAUAAAACAUUCUCAUCACAGCAGCGUUAUUUUUCUUUCAAAGUUCUCUCGCACUUUCAUAUAUGGCUGUUGAUAUUGAAAGCUAUAGAUGUCACGGAUCUCGAUAUAUGGAUAGAGACGUACGGCUGAGUGUGACAGCUGGGUGUCUGACUCUCUUCCAUUUCAAAAUCUGAUCCCUCUUCUCUGCCAUCGGUUUGAUUUUAUGCCCCUUCUGGCUCCUUUUCCAGGGGGGCUGGGAGCUGUGUAGAAUUUGAGGCUUCACUUCCAACGAGCUCGUCAGGUCUCAGCCCGCAGCAGUGAACUCAUUAGCAAAAUCGACACUAGUGAACAUCCCUUUGAUUAGAGAAGGUGUCGGUAUGUGGUGUGUCCUAGAGACUGAACUGCUCUCCCGCUGCAAAGGCUUUUCUCCCUGGCAAUAUGGGGCGGUGUGUUGGGUUUAUCACGCUGGUACGACGGUGGGAAUUGCACCGUGUAGUGUAGCAGUAAGAGACCCCACCAGGAUCCAGCUCAACUCGGGAGCAAACAAACCUCUUAUCCAGACGGCAGCUCGAGGUUGAUCUCUUGCACUGGCAUAAAGCAGGAACCAUGGGCUUUAAUUUGAUUGCUGUGACUAUAUUCUUAUACCUGGUGCAAUCAGAAAUAGCAGCAUCAAACUUGACAGGAGGGGUUCUCGGCAUCCUUGGCAUUGGGAAUGGAGGCACAGCGGAGCCGGCGACAGACACGUCUGUGGUUCGCUCUGCAGCACCAUCGUUACCAAAGUAUUUCCUGCUGCACGGCUGAAGCAGCAGAAUUACUGCACAUACAGCUGGAGCUGAUGGGGCUCAGCACCCCCCUCCUUGUUUCAUGUUUAAUUAGCCAGCGUGGGAAGGAUGGAUUGGCUGGAACAAGGAAGCAGGAGGGAGAAGGAAGGUUAAUCUAUCCUCUAGCUUUGCUAUUCCUUCUUCCUUGUGAUCUUGAGAAGCAAGGAGAUGAUGAGUCCUUUGAAGUGCAAAGCACUCCCCAUCCUUCUCCCUGAAAUGAUCGGUCUCCUCCUCCUCCCAGCCUGGGUCCAGCGCGUUCUGCAAAGCGCUGCGGAUGGCCCAGGAGCUGUUCUUACAGGGGCUGAGGCACAGGAUUUCAGGACUAAGCACCCUCAAAGCCACGUGCCUGUUCCAACAGUAACCUGAAAUAUCGGGGUGCUGCCUAGAUUUAAUGUGAGGAGUUUGGGUGACUGAAGCUGUGUGGGGCUGCGGGAGGGCGAUGCUGCUGGGGCAGGGGCGCUGGGGAGUUACCUGGGCUCUCAUCACCACCUCAGGAUGUACCAAUAGCCGUGCAAUUCCCCUAGCUGGUGUUUGUAAGGAGAGCGAGCCCGGCAGCCCGGCUCCCUCCUCUAGUGCUGUUCAAUAGCUCCGUUCAGUUUUUCAGGAAACUCUUUCCGAACAACAACGUGGGGAUACCAGGAGCAGAACGGGAGGGCUCGUGUAGCACGGCAGAACCAACAGCCCUUUCCCCAGGACCCGUGUUCUCCCCGAGUCAUAGUAAUUGAAUUGUUUUAAUAUUAAAUAUCUUCUCUGGAGCUCUGCUGAUGGGAGGGCGGCAGAGAUGUUUCUUCCAAAAUAGUCUUAAGCUAAUGCAGAAAGUAUGAAUAAAUCUCUCAGAGAUUAUAGCCCCUGGAAAGCUCCUGUGAACAUCAGAAAGACAUCCUUACUGCUAUGGGAGGUUUGAUUGAAUUACAAAUUUGAGGCAACUCCAAAGCAAAACUGAUUAAGUCUUUUCUUUUUCGCUCUCUUGUUGUAGCUUUUUAAAGCACUAAAGCUUUUUAAUAAUUAGAAAUCCCCCCAUCCUGUUUGUAAGUAGUUAUAAUUGGCAUUGCCCUGUGUGUAAGUAGUUCUGAUUGGCAUUGUGUCCACGUAGAUGGUCGUACACCAAAGCAGAAACCUUGCCAAGCACAAGCCCGUUCUGAGGAGCAUCAUUGCUCAUCAUCUCCGAAGGAGACCCCUGGUUUGCGUUGUGGGAGGAUCGCCCUGGGGUUUGGAGGAGGCAGCAGGACAGCGAGACGAUGCCCAAGAGGCGCGGAUUUGAGCAGCGACACGUGUGCCCUUCCAAGAACAGGCAGUGAGAGCAGCGGCCGUGGAGCGGGAGAGGAGCCGCCUUCAAGAACAAAAGUGGGAAGAGAGGCCUGAAAUGAUGUGAAAAUAACACUGUUUGAAUUAAUGUGUCAGCCCUGAUGGAUGCUUGUGCUACCCAGAGUUUUGAAAGGGCUCUGACGGGUAAGGUAUUACCAGGUGAGAUUUACCUACAGCCCCUGACUUCUAGUCAGCAAAAUCUGAGAUGAAAACCUAUCCUUCACUCUGCACUGACUUCCAGAGAAUAUUGAAUCAAGAUAAAGACCUAGAGGGCCACACACCCCAAGGUAUUUUGGCAUCUAAGUCCCAUUAAUUUCCAUGCAAGUGUUGGCAUUUUCAGAUAUUAUCUUUAAUUUAGUCAAGUGAAGGAGGGUCGGUCCUUAUCCCCAGCUCAGCCAGGGGAUGGGUGCGGGGCUGUGGGAGCCCCAUCCUGAUGGGAAAUGGGGUCCUGGAGCUCUGGGGACAGCGGCUGGGGGGGCUCUGGCUGCCUCCUCUGCUGUGCCAAGGGUAGGUUUGCAGCUUGUCUUCCCUAUCGUCAUUCCAAAGCUGUACAUACGUUUUAUUGCACACUUACCUUCCUCCCAGAGUGAGAGAAUGACCUACAUAUACAGGUGUUAAAGCCUGGAGGAUACUGGACUUCAUAAAACGGGUUGUAUAAGGGUUUGGAUCAGCAGUGCCCUGCUACAUUCAAACAGACACUCAUUCUCGAUGGGGACUGCGCGUACGUGCGCAUCUGUCCUUCCUCGCACAUCUGUCCUUCCUCCUUCUCUCCAUGGCACUAACCCACAGAGCAGCCCCUUCCCAGCACCAAAGGAAGGGAGCGAAAUGAAGAAAAAGCAGGAGGCAAAGAUCACAACAUACACAUGGACAAAUCCUGUCUCCUGACCUCUGCAGAGGCCGCAGUUCAGGGCAGGUGGGGACGUGCACUGACAAGAGGAUAAAGAUGGAAAGCAUCGAGUGUUCUUCAGGGCUGCAGACGUGCCGUGGGGAGGGGACAGCUCACGGGAGGUCCAGGCUUCGCUCCCCGCUCAGCUCGAGUGCAUUCUCCCCCUAAAC